rnacentral:tRNA from 1 species
GGUAAAAUGGCUGAGUAAGCAUUAGACUGUAAAUCUAAAGACAAAGGGUAUGUCCCCUUUUUUUACCA